rnacentral:lncRNA from 1 species
AUGUGGGAGGGAAUUCAUUCAUAUCCAAUUGAGAUUUUUAUCUUUCUCCUUAGAACGUGGAAGAAGCUGCCCAAAAUUGAGAACAUGCCAAACAUUAACAUUAAUAACGCUGUGACCUCUCCAAAUGUAAACUAUAUUCGCUGGAAAGUGCAUAGAGACUGGAUUACUCAGCUGAACUACUAUGAUUCCAUCAAAGCCGUCAUUUCAAGCUCCAACCAUGAGCCCACUGCUCUAGUAAUAGGUACUGCUUUCACUCCCCUUACGUUCGUAAUGUUCUCUGUGUGCCAGAUCCUUGGAUGUCUCCCACCUUUGUAAUUUCUGCAUUGCAACAGGCAUCCCACACUCUGCAGCUCAAAAUGUGACAACCUCCACUGUUCGGUUUGCCUUUAGCUUUAUAAGCCUCACACUAUGCUUUUGGAGAGGCAGAGUGAGGGAGGGCACUCCUAUCAGGGCUUCACAAAUACUGAGAGCUUGAUCGAUAUUUGUUGAUUUGAAAUAAGAGCAAAAUCCACUUCAGGCAACCUCAGGCUACACCAUUUGAGCACCUCUAAUGUGUUACAAGAUAUUAAAUAUACAGUAAUGUCUACAUAGGACUGCAAUCUUGGGGCAUUUGCGUGAAGUGAGAAUGAGGAAUAUCUACAAUUCAAAAGGCACACUGGAAAUAACAUUUUCUGUGAUGGCAACAGAAAGACCCAGAACCUGAAGACCUUUGCAUUUUUUGGAAGCUGGACUUUGACCAAAUGCAUUCAGAGAAAGGCCGAGGGAGAACCCAGAUCUUAAUCCAUCCCUCAUCUUACAUCCUCCAAUGCAUAGCUAGUCUGGGUAUGGGCUUGGCAAGGCUGACCCUGGGUCCAUGAAGUAGGGAAUGUGGCAGAACAAGUCUGUGCCGCUCACGUGGGAAUCACUUUGUCUGGACCAGAUGGAGGGCAGACAUCCUGGUACUGGGUGAAGGACUGGUCUAGAUUUGAACCAAGAUCCUUUUAAAUGGAUCACUCCCUGGAUACCAGCUCAUGGUCAGAAGUAGAUGCAAUCUCUGGCCCUAAACACUAGUAUCAGACACUGUACUAAGUCCCUUCAUUGUAUUAUUUUAAUCUCCAAAACAACCUUAUGGUUUAGGUCCCACCGUUAGUGUCAUCUUACAGAUGAGUAAAGCGAAGCAUAGAACUUGUCCUGAGGUAUCAUUCAAGGCUUUUUUUUUUUUUUCAAUAUUAAAAGAAAUGUAAUUCAAAUGGGAAAGCAAAAGGAGAAUUUCUUGGAUGACAUGAGAAGGGCAGAAGUGCAACCCAGUGUUGGGAAAUCCUGGUAGCAGAGGCUCAGAUGCUGCUCUGACUGUCUCUCUCUUUUUCUCUUCUGCACAGUGGAUCCCUCAGAGGGUGAAGAGCCCAUCUGUCAUGCACUUUGCCACCAACAGACUGGCUGCCACUCUGGGUCCCCAGUCCAGCUGCUCCUGAGAAGAUUCCCAAUAGAGCACUGUUGGCCCAUCUUUGGGACAAUUGCAAGCCAAAUGACCCAGGAAAGGCAGGGGCAGUAAGAACCUGGCAGUGUCUGUCCAACCACAUGAUGUAUGAAGAGGUGUGCUUUCAGAAGUAAGAGUGGAGAGAGGAGGUUUGCUAAAAAAAAAAAAAAAAAAAAAAAAAAAAGUGAAGAGUGAUGACUGCACUGAGUCACACAACUCAGAAAUGGAAGACCAAGGACUGGAAUCCGGGUUGUCCAGGCUGGUGCUUGUAAUCCUUGAAUGCACAGCAAUGGCAUCCCCUGUGUGUGCACUAGAAUUCCAGGGUCCCAGGCCCCCCUUGGAACAAUGGAAUCAGUCUACACUUGAAAAAGAACUGAAGGUGACUUAUGUACAUGUCAAGUCCAAGAAGCAUCCUUUAGUCACAAUAACAAUAUUUUCUCUUUUUUUGUGUUAUACUAAUAUUUUUAUAGUUUUUUCUAAUAAUUUGCCCUUUGAAGAUCUCAAUUCCUCAUAUUUACUUCAUUAAACUUUAUACUUAUUUUGUGAAGCCCUUGAGAGUAUGUUGGAAAGCCCCAUCCAAUUAUUCAGCAUCACUAUCACCAUAUUUAAUUUUCAAGUUUAUUCUAACAGUGAUUCCUUCCAUGUGUUUAGUGUUUACUAAUUUGUAAGAACUUUCACAUUCAUUGGUGGUUCUCAGUCUUCACUGUCUAUUGGAAUCAUCUGCGGACUUAAUAAAAGCUAGAUACAUGGGUCUUAUCCUCAGAUAUUCUGACCUGACUGGUCUGGGAUAAAGCCUGGGCAUCGACACCUUUAAAAGCUCCCCCAGUGAUUCUAAAGAUUUAAAACUACUGUUCAAGGAGGUAUGGCCCAGACUUCUGCAUUAUUUGGACUCUUUACAGUGGCUUUAAUUUGCUGCCAAGGGCAAGAACCACUCACAUUCAUUACAUUUCUUGUUUGAUAUUCAUGAUAGCCAGGUGAGGUAUGAAUUGUGCACAUAUCCCAUUUUACCAGUGAGGACACCUAAGCUAAAAUUUGCCCAUUGGGUCACUUAGCUGGAAGAGGGAAUUGGGAUGCAAAUCUGUUUUUUCUUACCCUAAGGCCACGAAUCCACCUGAAAUCCUGUAGAGUUGGGCUGGAAAAGUUUGCCCCUCGGGUCCUGGGACUUGUUUUAGGACAGCCUGGUUUCAAAAGGAAGAUUCUGAUCCUGGAGCAGAAUAAAUGUCUUGACUGCAGAGAAAAAGAAAUGUUAUAAUUCAUCUUCACAUAGUAAGAAAGUUGUAGCCAAUAAAAGCCAUCUUUGACCGCUUUUGUGUACCUGACAGCAGCAGCCUGAGAAAGGAAUCAGUGAAGAGCCCAGACAUAGACACUCGUGUCUACUGCCCAGCCAGGUGCGCCUGGCUAGCUGCACCUGAGCAUUUCUGAGAUUUGGAAAGGCUGAAAUCCUAGAGUUUUUUGUUUUGUUUUGUUUCCUGAGGUCACAGCUCUGUUACUUACAGAGCCAGGGCUGGAACUCAGAGACCUUCAUUCUGGAUUCAUUGCUUCUGUCUGCAUAAACACUGAAUUUCGAGCUGCUUCAGUUUCUGAAGGCUGAAUUUUAGAUUCUUAGGAUUCAUAUCCAUUAUCGUUCCAGAAAAC